GACGAACGCUGGCGGCGUGCUUAACACAUGCAAGUCGAACGGAAAGGCCUGCUUUCCCUUGUGGAUUGCGGGUACUCGAGUGGCGAACGGGUGAGUAACACGUGAGUGAUCUGCCCCCAACUUGGGUAUAAGCCUGGGAAACUGGGUCUAAUUCCCGAUAGGACUGCAGGGUGGUGCCUGUGGUGGAAAACGAUUUUCUAGUGGUUGGGGAUGAGCUCGCGGCCUAUCAGCUUGUUGGUGGGGUAAUGGCCUACCAAGGCGGCGACGGGUAGCCGGCCUGAGAGGGUGGACGGUCACAUUGGGACUGGGAUACGGCCCAGACGCCUACGGGAGGCAGCAGUGGGGAAUAUUGCACAAUGGGCGGAAGCCUGAUGCAGCGACGCUGCGUGGGGGAUGACGGCCUUCGGGUUGUAAACUCCUUUCGACCGAGAGGAAGCCACCUGGUUGGAAGGGUGGUGACGUUAGUGGUAGAAGAAGCACCGGCUAACUACGUG
rnacentral:rRNA from 1 species